rnacentral:tRNA from 1 species
CCCCUGGUAGCUCAGCAGUAAAGAAUCUGCCUGCAGUGCAGGAGACGCAGGUUCGAUCCCUCCCUAGGUGG